GCCAAGUAGCGUGAAGGAUGACUGCCCUAUGGGUUGUAAACUUCUUUUAUAAAGGAAUAAAGUCGGGUAUGGAUACCCGUUUGCAUGUACUUUAUGAAUAAGGAUCGGCUAACUCCGUGCCAGCAGCCGCGGUAAUACGGAGGAUCCGAGCGUUAUCCGGAUUUAUUGGGUUUAAAGGGAGCGUAGAUGGAUGUUUAAGUCAGUUGUGAAAGUUUGCGGCUCAACCGUAAAAUUGCAGUUGAUACUGGAUAUCUUGAGUGCAGUUGAGGCAGGCGGAAUUCGUGGUGUAGCGGUGAAAUGCUUAGAUAUCACGAAGAACUCCGAUUGCGAAGGCAGCCUGCUAAGCUGCAACUGACAUUGAGGCUCGAAAGUGUGGGUAUCAAACAGGAUUAGAUACCCUGGUAGUC
rnacentral:rRNA from 1 species